rnacentral:tRNA from 1 species
GGGCAGAUGUGCUUAGUGGCGAUAGCAGUGGGCCGUAACCCCACCACAUUAGAAACACCGUAGGUUCGACUCCUACUCUGCUCA